ACGUCAAAAAUGGUUCCUUUAAAGUCAACCAUUCUCUUUGAUUGUAGUCACCUUAAGCUACCAAUUAGCUUAUGAAGGUUUCAUUAUUUCGAGUCAAAUGGUACUUUACCAUUUCCUUGAGUAUAUAUCGUAUAUGCACUCAAUGUAGUCAUAAAGUUCAAAAAACCAUUCAACUGAGACGGUUUAUAAAUCCUUAUCGACUACCUUGGAGCUUGUGGUAUAGGAACUAGGUUGUUAUAUUUGUUGAUUACUAUCUUGUCUCUCAAAGAACCCAUUCUUCGAGUUCUAUCUCUCGUUCAUUUGCUUUUAGGCAAAUCACAUUGUAGAAUUACAAUGAACUACCCAACAAAACAACAUUUGUUAGUUGGUUUAUAGAAGCGAUAUCCAAAAGUUAUUUUAAGGAUAUCCUACCAGAUUGUUAUCUAACAAAUAUUGCUUAUUAGCACACAACCCCAAAUCUUAACAUGCUUAAGAUUUGUUUUUCUUUCCAACUACAUCUUAUGGAGUCAUGAAAAUAUUGGAAGAUCUUCUCAUUGACAAUCAUAUUGUUUUAGAAGUAUAUAUCCUAUAUAUGGGUAAUAGAUAAUAUCUAACGAACUAAAUCUUAUUCAAGUUCGUUCUUCUCCUAAUGGAGAAAUACAUUAUCUUAUGAUGCUUAUUUCCUUGAUAUCUUUCAAGGAAACUCAUCUAAAGUGUUACCUUUCCUUGGAUCAAAUCUAAGGAGGUAAUUACUUUAGAUGUCUUACUCAUCAACUUACAUUUCUUGAAUUCUUUGAAACAUUUUGCAAAGUAUUCGGACUUGUGUUUAUUCAAAAUAAACUAUAGUCCAACCGAGAGUGAUCUUCGGUGAAUGUGAUUCAACAUGAGUAGUAUUUAUGUUUGUGGACAAGUGCCACUAACAUCUAAGUGAAUUGGCCUCAACAACUUUGUGAUUCUUUCUUCUUUUCAAAAGAAUAAAGAUUCGAACAUUUCGCCUCUAUACAAUUUUAACAAGAAGGUAUUGGAUCCGGAUGUAACGAUCCAAAGCGUCCAUCUAUGACCAACUCGUAAUUUAUGUUUUAGAGGUAUCACAA
rnacentral:lncRNA from 1 species